GAUGAACGCUAGCUACAGGCUUAACACAUGCAAGUCGAGGGGCAGCACAGUGUAGUAAUACAUGGGUGGCGACCGGCGCACGGGUGCGUAACGCGUAUCCAACCUUCCCGAUACUCAGGGAUAGCCUUCCGAAAGGGAGAUUAAUACCUGAUGGUGUUCAAAUUCCGCAUGUUAUUUGAACUAAAGAUUUAUCGGUAUCGGAUGGGGAUGCGUGACAUUAGAUAGUAGGCGGGGUAACGGCCCACCUAGUCUACGAUGUCUAGGGGUUCUGAGAGGAAGGUCCCCCACACUGGAACUGAGACACGGUCCAGACUCCUACGGGAGGCAGCAGUGAGGAAUAUUGGUCAAUGGUCGGAAGACUGAACCAGCCAAGUAGCGUGAAGGAUGAAGGUUCUAUGGAUUGUAAACUUCUUUUAUACGGGAAUAAAACCUCCUACGUGUAGGAGCUUGUAUGUACCGUAUGAAUAAGCAUCGGCUAACUCCGUGCCAGCAGCCGCCGUAAAAC
rnacentral:rRNA from 1 species